UACUUUAAUAUGUAUUUCCUCUUCACUUAACAAGUGCCAAAAACCUAAAAUUUUAAAUUUGAAUGACAAAAAAGGGGUAUAAUUAUAACCCAACAUUCAUUGUUCAAUAAAUUUGUAUAAUUGCUUCUCCCCUUAUUUUUUUCAAUUAGUCAUCGUGGUGGUGUUGGCAUUGCAAUGAACAUCGUGGUAGGAGUUACUACGGUCGAUGAGAUGGCAACCGCUAUAGUGGUGGAGGAGAAUAUGGAGGUGGCGGUCACGGCAGAGUUCGUGGAGGCGGCGGAUUCAAAUGAGGAAAUAGUGGAAUAGAGUAGAUUAGUGGAAAAAACUAAGCGGCGAUGAUUUAGAGCACAUGCAGGAAAACUAGGAAAGCAUAGAGCACAUCAGCGGCAAGAAGAACAGAACGGUGAGAUAUAUUUAUUUUUUGUUAUCAAUUUUUUUCUUUGAUAUGAGAAUUUAAAACUUCAAUGUUGUUUAAUUUUCUGAUCAGCUAAUGUCUCCUUAAAAUCUGAUUAGGUAAGAAAGGCUGGUGGUGUUAGGUGGAAGUCCAUGUAUGAUGCUUAACCAUAUCAAGUAAAGGCUGAGAAAAAUAAACUAACAUAUGAGGAGGAUAUCAGGGCCUACGACAAAAGAUUGGUGAUUACUUUAACUCAAUGUUGUGACUCUCUCUUAUAUUGUGAUUCAUACUAAUCAUAUGGUUGAACUCUUUUGAUGUAUUAAAAUGAGAGCGGAGAUUCUAAUAAGUCAAAAUUCGAGUAAAUCGAUGAUGAUGAAGAGGUGAUAGAGCUUUGAACUUUAUUUUCAAUUGUGAAAUAGAUUCUGACAUUAGUUGUUAUUAUUUGUUGUUAUUGUUUUUUAACUGAUGCUUGAGUUACUAUAUUUUUAUUCUUAGGCAUUUUAAUAUCACAAGUGAUAUUGCAUGGUUAGCAGACAGAACAGUAAAAUUUUGGGAUUUAAGAACCUUUGAACUAAUUGAAUCUACUAAACAAGAGGUA